CUCCUCCCCUUUUCUCUGUGUUCAUAUUCAUUCAGAGCUCCGUCGCUCAGACCAUCACACCUCUCUGUGCUCUCUCUGCUCUCUGCUUUCUUCAUCUCCAGGUCUCCCAUCUGUCCCUGUCUCUACCAUCCUCAUCCUCACUCUGUCUCUCCAUGGGAGUCAUGUCCUCCCCCAGGUUCCUGUCACUUCAUCUGCUUGGAGCCUUGCUGCUGCCGCUGCUGCUGCUGCCUGGUUCUUGGGCCCAGCAUUAUGAUGAUUUCACAUCAUCUCCAGAUUACGACUCUGACUACAACUCCACCUUUGAGUACAGCUUCUUCAGUAAUACGAGCAGCGAGGACCUGGACAGACUUGUGGAACGCUACCUCGAUCCAGACGAAACUACGGAGGACACUGGAGGACCAGAGGAGGAAGUGGCUGUAACCAUGGUGAUUACAAGAAGAACAACAGAGGGGGUCAACGCUCACGGCACUGCACCAUUUCAGGUAUGUUUGGAAAUCAGGACGCUGCUCUGGACUCUGGUGAUCCUGUUGGUCCUGCAGCAGCUGCAACACACACUCUGGUGACAGGUGUCGAGACAAGCCCCUCAGCUCCGUCCUCAGUGAACAUGGCUCCUCAUGGGAGCAGGUGGACCAAUCACAGAGCUUCUUUCCUGAACCAUUUCAGAAAGUUUGCAGACAAACGCCUGGAAGAUUUCACUACGUGGUGACAUUUUUAUUAUACGUAAAGAAGUUUUUUGAUGGAACUGCUGAAUAAGCCAUACUUUAGAAAAGAUGUUUAUAUUUGUAAUAAAAAGAUGUUUUUAAAGACAAUAUGAAGUUAUUUUGUGUCCUUAUUGUGCAAACAAACAACAUAAGUGUUUGUAGUUGAGUGCAAACAAGCACUGUGUUACAGAAUAAACAUGUUGAUGGACGGGGUCAGCGGGGGCCUGGAGCUUUCAUUUUUUCUCCAAAUCACAAGUGUUGUUGGCUGAACUGUGAAACGUCAGCUGAAAGAUUUCUAUUACAGCAGAACCGUCACUGUGCAAACGUUUGCAUCUGUUCAUAUUCAGGAUCCAGGAGCGGAUUUGGAUCCACAGUUUAAUCACAGAUUUAUUUGACUUGCGAUACAUUUUUGAUUGUGCUGUUUAUAGUUUUCCUCUAAAUCCUGUUUGUUUGCAUAAAAAAGACACAAAAGUGACAGAAUAAAAACACGAUUGUAUGAAUGAGCAUAUUUGCAGAUACAUUUAUAUAUAAACAAAUAAAGAUGAAGUAUUUAAAGUGGACCCCAGCAUCCUCCGUGGUUACAAUCAUCAGUUUGUCAGCGACAUGUUUGAUUGUUUAUUUGGAUGUUUGAUCUUCCUGUUCGAAAAAACAAAACUGCAGUCCCAUCGACAACAUGCUGAAAACUAUUUUUAUUAAAAAAUAAACAUUUUCCAAAACGUUUCAGAUGUAGCAGCAAAAUAAGUUUGACAGAAAAUCCGCAUGAAGAAGAAAACACCUGGACUUCUAUAGGUUUGUGAAUGUGGCAGCUCGCAUCCAAAAGGGCUUCCUAGCAGCGGCAGAGAUGAAGAAGACGGCCGUAGCGAUCGAUGUAGCGGUUCCCAAUGACAGCAACAUCAGGAAGAAGGAACACGAGAAGCUGGAGAAAUACCAAGCGCUCAGAUGUGAAGGCUGUGUGCAGGCAGGAAAAGGACCCAAAAUGCAGACUCACGGAAACCAAAGUUUCUCCAUGAGCUUCACGAGGUCGUCACCUGAAAAGGUUUCCAACAGUCUUGAAGGAGUUCAGAGAUGCUGAGCUCUUGUUGUUCCUCCAUCUCAUCCCAAACCAUCUCCACUGGGUUUAGGUCAGGUGACUGGAGGCCAGACCAUCAGGUGCAGCACUCCAUCUCUCCUUCUUGGUCACAGAGCCCUCACACAGCCUGGAGGUGUGUUCGGGGCCAUUGUCCUGCUGAAGAAUAAAUGAUGGGAUGUGGCUGCAGGAUGCUGUGGGAGCCAUGCUGCUUCAGUCUGCCUUCAAUUUUGAAUAAAUCCCCAACAGUGUCAGCAGCAAAGCCCCCCCACACCAUCACACCUCCUGCUCCAGGCUUCACAGUGCAUGUAGAGACCAUCGUUCACCAUCGCACAAAGACACAACAGGUGGAACC
ensembl:lncRNA